UACGUAGGAGGCGAGCGUUGUCCGGAUUUACUGGGCGUAAAGCGCGCGCAGGCGGUAUGGCAAGUAAGGUGUGAAAUCUCCCUGCCUAACGGGGAGGGUGCAUUUUAGACUGCCAAGCUAGAGGACGGUAGAGGGGGGUAGAAUUGCUGGUGUAGCGGUGAAAUGCGUAGAUAUUGGGGAGGAACACCGGUGGCGAAGGCGGCCCCCUGGACCCGGUCGACUGACGCUGAGGCGCGAAAGCGUGGGUAGCAAACGGG
rnacentral:rRNA from 1 species